GAGUAGGCUGCAAUUUUAAGGACCUCAGAAUUUUGCUACUGGCUCUCAGUGGUGGACUUUGCCAGAAAACUCUGUUGCAACCGGUUGGUAGAUGUCUGGUGCACAGGAGAUCAGAGAGCAACUCUGCAGAUCAUCAUACAUGUGGUACUGAAGAACAAUCUGAUGGAUCUUGUUUUUCCAAAGCACAGAGCUAAGAUUUGGGAACCUCACUGAGUGAAUCAGAUGAGCGUGAUGCGAAGAGCCAAGAAAUGGAGAAUCAAAAUAUCUUGGGACAGCAAGGUUUUCAAUUGAGAUCACUACCCUAAUACGCAACGAGCUGCACAGAAGAGGAACAUUGCUAGAAUUCACAUCCUAGCUGCAGAAAAGCAUCCUGUGAAGCAGUCACUAUGCAGGAGAUUGCAAGUAAGGAAAUCUGAAUUUGAAUGGCAACUGUCUCCCCCAUG